rnacentral:rRNA from 1 species
AUGAUCUGUUCCUUCCUCCGUUUCCAACUUUAUUUCUUCACGCUGUUUGUUUGUCCUGGUUGUGUGUUUGUUUGUCAAAGACCAACCCACCCCCACCCCAGCCUACCCCAAACAGCCCUUGUGGACAAAAGGCCCUUGUUUUUUGUUUCUGUUUUUUUGUCCCCUAUUUUUUCUACUUGUUGGUCACAUUAUUCCUCCUCCCUGCUUUUCUUUCUUUCUUUCUUGUCCUUGUUCCUGUGUGUCGCACGAUCUAGAGAAGCAAUCCUUUGCUUUGCUCAGUCCUGGGCUGGCCCUUCUCCAGGUUUUGGAAUGAUGCAUGGAAUGGAUGAAGUUUGUAUAUGUGUGCAUAUACAAGAGACAAAAUAG